GCCGCCGCGGCGGCGGGGGCUCCCUCCUCCUGCGCGCGGGCCCAGCCCGGCCGCCAGCUCGCCCUCGACUCCUGGGGACAGCUCGCAGGCUCCCCCCCCGAACGGCUCCCGGCCGCCCCCGAGCCCGCCCCGCUCCCGCCGCCUCCGCUCCGCCCCUGCUCCCUCGGGUGCGGGGGCCGCGGGCGUUGGGAACGAGGUCCCUGCAGAGUCACCUCCUGGCCGCGCGCAGCGUCCUGGGGUUUCCCUGCGGGAAUCGCUUGUCGUGGGUGUUUGGACUCACGUGCGGGUACGGGGUGGCCAAGAGCUGGAACUCUCGCCCGUGAGCUCCGGGGAAGGGGGUGAAGGCCGGACCUGAAAGUCGCCCUUUGCUCCGCCCGAGUCCCCAAAAGCAACCCUACGAGGUGGCCACGCCGGCUGCCCGGAGAGAGGCCCAGGAAAAUGUCUGACUCUUCCUCCGCCCAGCGCGGGGCUGGGAGGACAUUUCCCGGGAGAACCAAAGACCCCUCCCCCCUGCUACCGCCUCGGGUUGGGGACUCUGGCGAAGAGAAUAUGCAGAACUGGCAGGCGGGGCACCAGGCUGGAACCUGUGGAAAAGGGAAACCACGGAUGCUUGCCGUGGCUAGAUUGGAAAAUUGGGACCGCCUCCCAACAGAAUUCCCAGUGAGCAGUGGCGAGUCAAGGAUAAACGUCAGGACUUGGAGCAUGUCUGGCCCGCGCCACCUCCCAACCUAAAUUCCAAGGAAGGCUGAUGACCCCAAGCUCUUGGCCGGUAAUGAGCAAUUCAUGUUGGGAAGUGAUGGUCACUGACAAGAUGCAAGAAAACAGAGCUGGGGCACAAAAGGCUAAGCCAUGGAAAGUUCAAGAGUCUGGAAGAGACCUGCCUGAGUAAAAAGUUUCUCCUUCUCUUCUCAUUAAGAGGAAAGUCAUCUCUCAAACGGAACCUUAUUAAACUUACAUCCUUUCUGAAUAUGGUAAUCCCUCUGCAUCUAUUAGUUAUUUUAAUUUUAUAUUCCUGGUACAAUCUGAU
rnacentral:lncRNA from 1 species